UAAAGUUUCAACCGUUUCUUAUGGUGAAGAAAAACCUGCAGUAUUAGGUCAUGAUGAAGCUGCAUAUUCUAAAAACCGUCGUGCUGUUUUAGCCUACUAAAAUUUGAGAUAUUCCUGAAAACAGAGCCUUAAAUAGCGGCUCUGUU
rnacentral:sRNA from 1 species